CCGGUAAACGGCGGCCGUAACUAUAACGGUCCUAAGGUAGCGAAAUUCCUUGUCGGGUAAGUUCCGACCUGCACGAAUGGCGUAAUGAUGGCCAGGCUGUCUCCACCCGAGACUCAGUGAAAUUGAACUCGCUGUGAAGAUGCAGUGUACCCGCGGCAAGACGGAAAGACCCCGUGAACCUUUACUAUAGCUUGACACUGAACAUUGAGCCUUGAUGUGUAGGAUAGGUGGGAGGCUUUGAAGUGUGGACGCCAGUCUGCAUGGAGCCGACCUUGAAAUACCACCCUUUAAUGUUUGAUGUUCUAACGUUGACCCGUAAUCCGGGUUGCGGACAGUGUCUGGUGGGUAGUUUGACUGGGGCGGUCUCCUCCUAAAGAGUAACGGAGGAGCACGAAGGUUGGCUAAUCCUGGUCGGACAUCAGGAGGUUAGUGCAAUGGCAUAAGCCAGCUUGACUGCGAGCGUGACGGCGCGAGCAGGUGCGAAAGCAGGUCAUAGUGAUCCGGUGGUUCUGAAUGGAAGGGCCAUCGCUCAACGGAUAAAAGGUACUCCGGGGAUAACAGGCUGAUACCGCCCAAGAGUUCAUAUCGACGGCGGUGUUUGGCACCUCGAUGUCGGCUCAUCACAUCCUGGGGCUGAAGUAGGUCCCAAGGGUAUGGCUGUUCGCCAUUUAAAGUGGUACGCGAGCUGGGUUUAGAACGUCGUGAGACAGUUCGGUCCCUAUCUGCCGUGGGCGCUGGAGAACUGAGGGGGGCUGCUCCUAGUACGAGAGGACCGGAGUGGACGCAUCACUGGUGUU
rnacentral:rRNA from 1 species